GAUGAACGCUGGCGGCGCGCCUAAUACAUGUAAGUCGAGCGAACAGACGAGGAGCUUGCUCCUCUGACGUUAGCGGCGGACGGGUGAGUAACACGUGGAUAACCUACCUAUAAGACUGGGAUAACUUCGGAAAACCGGAGCUAAUACCGGAUAAUAUAUUGAACCGCAUGGUUCAAUAGUGAAAGACGGUUUUGCUGUCACUUAUAGAUGGAUCCGCGCCGCAUUAGCUAGUUGGUAAGGUAACGGCUUACCAAGGCAACGAUGCGUAGCCGACCUGAGAGGGUGAUCGGCCACACUGGAACUGAGACACGGUCCAGACUCCUACGGGAGGCAGCAGUAGGGAAUCUUCUGCAAUGGGCGAAAGCCUGACGGAGCGACGCCGCGUGAGUGAUGAAGGUCUUCGGAUCGUAAAACUCUGUCAUUAGGGAAGAACAAAUGUGUAAGUAACUAUGCACGUCUUGACGGUACCUAAUCAGAAAGCCACGGCUAACUACGUGCCAGCCGCCGCGGUAA
rnacentral:rRNA from 1 species